GACAGAAAGUUGGCAGAGCAGGAUAAGGAGAUGGAACAAAUCAAGAGGAAUAGCUAAAGGGUGAUCGACUUCAUGCAGAGCACCCUGAACUCUGCAGUGAGGAGCAGCAAUGAGAUGCUGUAAGGAUCAAGAAGAUGAGAGAAAGAGACAUGAAUGAGAUGAACAUUCCAUUGAGCCAAGCCAAUCGCCAGGCUGUUGAGGCCCAGAAACAGCUCAGGAACAACUCAAAAAUUGCUGCAUUUCUAGACAAACUACUACAUGAGGAGUGUCAGGCAAACACCUAUGUGUGCUGGCUCAGGAAAGUACAUCCUAAACUCUGCAGACAGCAGACAUCACAG